rnacentral:rRNA from 1 species
ACAAGCGGCGGAGCAUGCGAUUAAUUCGAUGCAACGCGAAGAACCUUACCAAGGCUUGACAUACACCGGUAACGCCCAGAGAUGGGUGCCCCUUUGUGGUCGGUGUACAGGUGGUGCAUGGUUGUCGUCAGCUCGUGUCGUGAGAUGUUGGGUUAAGUCCCGCAACGAGCGCAGCCCUCGUCCUAUGUUGCCAGCGGGUCAUGGCCGGGGACUCAUGGGGGACUGCCGGGGUCAACUCGGAGGAAGGUGGGGAUGACGUCAAAUCAUCAUGCCCCUUAUGUCUUGGGCUUCACGCAUGCUACAAUGGCCGGUACAAAGGGCUGCGAUACCGCGAGGUGGAGCGAAUCCCAGAAAGCCGGUCUCAGUUCGGAUUGGGGUCUGCAACUCGACCCCAUGAAGUCGGAGUCGCUAGUAAUCGCGGAUCAGCACGCCGCGGUGAAUACGUUCCCGGGCCUU